rnacentral:rRNA from 1 species
UGCAGAAUCCCGUGAACCAUCGAGUUUUUGAACGCAAGUUGCGCCUGAGGCCAGCUGGCCAAGGGCACGUCCGCCUGGGCGUCAAGCAUUGUGUCGCUCCAUAGGACCUUCGCUGGUAUGCGGUUGUCCUAUAUAGGAUGCGGAGAAUGGCCUGUCAUGCGUUGAUGUGUGGCUGGCUGAAGAGCGGGAUGAUACUCUCCUGGCAAUGGUCGAUUAAUGGGUGGGAUGGAAGCCCCAGUGAUUCAUCGUCAGGUUGCCUUGAGAAGUUUUUGCAUUUUCCAGCUAACCCAACACAAUUGUCAUUACAAGACAAUUGACAUGCGACCCCAGGAUGGGCGGGAUGACCCGCUGAGUUUAAGCAUAUCAAUAAGCGGAGGAGAAGAAACUUACGAGGAUUCCCCUAGUAACGGCGAGCGAACCGGGAUUUGCCCAGCUUGGGAAUCGGGUUGCUUUUGCGGCUCGA